CCUUCGGUAGCUCAGUUGGAAGAGCGGUGGACUGUAGAUCCAUAGGUCGCUGGUUCGAAUCCGGCCCGAAGGA
rnacentral:tRNA from 1 species